rnacentral:rRNA from 1 species
GAUGAACGCUGGCGGCGUGCUUAACACAUGCAAGUCGAACGAAGCACUUUAUUUGAUUUCUUCGGAAUGAAGAUUUUGUGACUGAGUGGCGGACGGGUGAGUAACGCGUGGGUAACCUGCCUCAUACAGGGGGAUAACAGUUGGAAACGACUGCUAAUACCGCAUAAGCGCACAGGGUCGCAUGACCUGGUGUGAAAAACUCCGGUGGUAUGAGAUGGACCCGCGUCUGAUUAGCCAGUUGGUGGGGUAACGGCCUACCAAAGCAACGAUCAGUAGCCGACCUGAGAGGGUGACCGGCCACAUUGGGACUGAGACACGGCCCAAACUCCUACGGGAGGCAGCAGUGGGGAAUAUUGCACAAUGGGGGAAACCCUGAUGCAGCGACGCCGCGUGAGCGAAGAAGUAUUUCGGUAUGUAAAGCUCUAUCAGCAGGGAAGAAGAAAUGACGGUACCUGACUAAGAAGCACCGGCUAAAUACGUGCCAGCAGCCGCGGUAAUACGUAUGGUGCAAGCGUUAUCCGGAUUUACUGGGUGUAAAGGGAGCGCAGGCGGUACGGCAAGUCUGAUGUGAAAGCCCGGGGCUCAACCCCGGUACUGCAUUGGAAACUGUCGGACUAGAGUGUCGGAGGGGUAAGUGGAAUUCCUAGUGUAGCGGUGAAAUGCGUAAAUAUUAGGAGGAACACCAGUGGCGAAGGCGGCUUACUGGACGAUUACUGACGCUGAGGCUCGAAAAGCGUGGGGAGCAAACAGGAUUAGAUACCCUGGCUAUCCCCGCCCGUAAACCUAUGAAUACUAAGGUGUCGGGGAGCACUGCUCCUUCGGGCCCCCACCCAAACCAAUAAUUAUUCCACCCGGGGAGUACGUUCGCAAGAAAUGAAACUCAAAGGAAUUGCGGGGGACCGGCCCAAGCGGUGGAGCAUGUGGUUUAUUUCGAAGCAACGCGAAGAACCUUACCAAGUCUUGACAUCCCGAUGACAGAACAUGUAAUGUGUUUUCUUUUUGGAGCAUCGGUGACAGGUGGUGCAUGGUUGUCGUCAGCUCGUGUCGUGAGAUGUUGGGUUAAGUCCCGCAACGAGCGCAACCCCUAUUCUUAGUAGCCAGCGGGUAAGCCGGGCACUCUAGGGAGACUGCCAGGGAUAACCUGGAGGAAGGUGGGGAUGACGUCAAAUCAUCAUGCCCCUUAUGACUUGGGCUACACACGUGCUACAAUGGCGUAAACAAAGGGAAGCGAGCCUGCGAGGGGGAGCAAAUCUCAAAAAUAACGUCUCAGUUCGGACUGCAGUCUGCAACUCGACUGCACGAAGCUGGAAUCGCUAGUAAUCGCGAAUCAGAAUGUCGCGGUGAAUACGUUCCCGGGUCUUGUACACACCGCCCGUCACACCAUGGGAGUUGGUAAUGCCCGAAGUCAAAGACCCAACCGCAAGGAGGGAGCUGCCGA